AUGAACGCUGGCGGCGUGCCUAAUACAUGCAAGUCGAGCGAACAGAUGAGGAGCUUGCUCCUCUGACGUUAGCGGCGGACGGGUGAGUAACACGUGGAUAACCUACCUAUAAGACUGGGAUAACUUCGGGAAACCGGAGCUAAUACCGGAUAAUAUAUUGAACCGCAUGGUUCAAUAGUGAAAGACGGUUUUGCUGUCACUUAUAGAUGGAUCCGCGCCGCAUUAGCUAGUUGGUAAGGUAACGGCUUACCAAGGCAACGAUGCGUAGCCGACCUGAGAGGGUGAUCGGCCACACUGGAACUGAGACACGGUCCAGACUCCUACGGGAGGCAGCAGUAGGGAAUCUUCCGCAAUGGGCGAAAGCCUGACGGAGCAACGCCGCGUGAGUGAUGAAGGUCUUCGGAUCGUAAAACUCUGUUAUUAGGGAAGGACAAAUGUGUAAGUAACUAUGCACGUCUUGACGGUACCUAAUCAGAAAGCCACGGCUAACUACGUG
rnacentral:rRNA from 1 species